rnacentral:sRNA from 1 species
GCCGGGUGAGGUGGUGUACACUUGUAAUCCCAGUAUCUUGAGAGGCUGAGGCAGGAGGAUUACAAGUUGAAAGCCAGCCUCAGCAAUUCAGAAAGGCCCUAAGAAACUCAGUGAGACCCUGUCUCUA